rnacentral:rRNA from 1 species
ACCGGUAGCGAUGCGCAAAGGGGAAACACGCGUACCCAUCCCGAACACGAGAGUGAAGACCAAGGCGGCCGAGGGUACUAUGUGGGAGACUGCAUGGGAGAGUAGGUGGCUGCCGGAA